rnacentral:rRNA from 1 species
AUGGACCAUUCCAUCCCUUAUUCCCGUGGCUAUGCAUCGGAUUCGGAUGACGAAGGUCCCGGUGAACAAGUUGAUGAGGAGGGGUUCACGGUGAAGGAGGCCGAAGCUUUCGAGAAGGUAUUCGGGCGGGAUCAUCGGACUACAUUGUUCAAGGAUGUUAGUCUCGCGGAUGAAGCCGUGGUAGAUGGUGGCCAAGGUAUAUAUCUUAGGGUUAGGCCAAGAUCUCAC